GAGGAGCAAAUACAGCAUCUGUGGGAUGGCAGAGUGUCUUGGGGGAGAAAGGAGAAGAGAGGCAUCUCUCAGCAAUGGAGCCAGUAUCCUUGCAGCCUCACAACUAUCCCAGGACACACAAUCUGUAAGAGAUUUACUUUUCCCUCCUCAUCCCCC